UGGCGGACGGGUGAGUAACGCGUGGGCAACCUGCCUUACACAGGGGGACAACAGCUGGAAACGGCUGCUAAUACCGCAUAAGCGCACGGACUCGCAUGAGACAGUGUGAAAAACUCCGGUGGUGUAAGAUGGGCCCGCGUCUGAUUAGCUGGUUGGUGGGGUAACGGCCUACCAAGGCGACGAUCAGUAGCCGACCUGAGAGGGUGACCGGCCACAUUGGGACUGAGACACGGCCCAAACUCCUACGGAAGGCAGCAG
rnacentral:rRNA from 1 species